rnacentral:lncRNA from 1 species
GGGGCGAUUAGUGAGGUGUGGAAGGAAGAAGGAGAUACGAAUAUUUUGAAAAGGAAGGACAUGCACAUUAUGCAGACGGACUGUCUGGCCUAUUCAAAAAUGGGGACGAGGUUCCGGGCAAAUAUGGCUUGUGAAAAUCACCUGCAUUUGUAGCCAUGGCUAAUGUUUAAAGAGCUUCUUGGAUUUGAGGUGGAAAUUAAUGCGUUAGAUAUGGCUAUUAUUUCCUUAAGCUCACAUUCAGAAUCAACCGUAUAAAGUCACAUGCAGUUAUAGUACAGCUGAGUGGCUUUAUGAACUUAUUUUGGGAAAUGAGAUGAUGCAUGCAAGCACAAGCUUGUUGAACCAGAAGUAUUUAUUUGCCAGUUGUCUCUGUGGACAUUUAGGAAAGAUUUAAGAGAUGCAGGCAGGGAGAAGUCAGGUAAGUCCUCAAACCCCUGUGCCAUAGCACUUGGGAAGUGAGUGAUGGGCCACGGGCCACAGGAAGGUAAUGGAUACUGUCCUCAAAGGUUUUGAUUAAUGCACGGGGUCUCACAUUUCAUCUGGCCCAACAUGUAACUAAUUGGUCAUUUCUAGCAAAGCCCAUGGGAGAAGAAAAACUUGUUGAAACAAGAUCUGAUUAACCAAGAUGGCCCAGUUCCACACCAAACACAAGCUGCUCUGCUUUGGAGACACCUGUAUAAAACAUGAGGAAAGCCAGCUUUUUCUCUGGGUUUAAAGCAUGUCUAAUGACCUCUGGUGACAAAGAAAGUAUCCCUCUCUUUAACGGGAUAAGAGCCGUGCACAGGCUCAGCCCUCUCUGGGCUGCAAAGAGAACUUUGGGAAUGCUUUCUGUUUGUUUUAAUUAAGAAAAGUCACCUGAGGAUUUAUUAAGAGCAGGCAGAAAAUAUCCAUCAAAGAAACACUAUGCAGUCCUCAAAAAGCAUGAGGCAUGUUUGUGCUUUCUGAUAGAGAAUUAUCUCCAACAUUGACAACUUAAGUGAUCAAAUCAAGGUACAGAGUGAGGUUUAUAGUAUAUGAUCAUUUAUGUCAAAAAUGAAAUAUGUGUAUGCAUAGGCAUAAAAGAGGUUGCCUCUGGGGAGGGGAGUUGAGUAGCCGAGAGUAUGCAGGGAACUUAUUUUUUAGUCUAUUCUUUUAUUUUUUGAAUUUAUUUCUAUAUGUACUUAAAUUCAAGUAGAUUGUUCUCCUCAGUUGAAAAUAUUGAAAUGUUUAGGAAAAAAGAAAACAAUACCCAUAAUGAAAUUUUCAAAAGAGGUAGAAACAGGUCUUUCCCUUUUCUGUUUGCAAAAUGAGCCAGAAUUAUGCCAGAUGCUGGGACCAAAAUGAAGGUUCCAGUAGUGGAGGUUAAGGAUAAAGCGCUCCUUCCUGAUAGUUCACUCAAGGGUUCCUGAGUGUAUUAGUUUGCUGGGAUUGCUUAAAAAACAAAAAAGACAAAAAACAAAAAACGUAAACCGUGUGGCUUAAAGCAACAAAAAUUUAUGAUCGCACAGUUCUGGAGUCUUAAAGUCUGAGAUUAGGGCGUCAGCAGGUUGGUUCCUCCUGAGAGCUCUGAGGAAAAUCUAUGCCUCUCCCCUAAUUUCUAGUGGUUUUAUGGCAAUUCUUAGAUUUCUUGGCUUGUAGAAGCCUCACUCCCAUUUCACGUGGCGUUCUUCCCCUGGUGUGUGUGUGUGUCUGUCUGUCUGUCCAGAUUUCCCCUUCUCUAAGGACAUCGGUCAUAUUGCACUAGGCGGUGCACCCUAACGACUUCACCUUAACUCAGCUAAUUACAUCCGCAACAACCCUAUUUCAAAUAAGGUCACAUUCUGAGUCACUGAGAGAUGGGACUUCAACAUAUGAACUUCAGAGGGGACAGCUUUCAGCCCAUCACGCUAAGCCUAUUCACUUAUCCAGAAUUACAUCGCUCCAGAGGGGAAGCAUAUUGACGCAUGUCUAUAAAACACAGCCGACAGGAUGCAUCUCCUCACGCCACACGCGGAUAAGGUGGAUACACGCUGGCAUAGUUUAUACCUUAAAAUGUCAAGUGCAUUACCAUCCUCUGCGAAAAGAGAGAGCACAAACUUGGUUCAUGAAGAAUGAACAGUUUCUCUAGUCAGAGCAAUAAAUGAAUAAAAUUGAUUCCCCCACCUCCCCUCUCCCCGAGUCAAUACCAGCUCAGGGUGUGGUCAUUCGCGGAUGUUGAUUAAGCACCUACUAGUGCCUGACACGGGCCCAGGAACGAGCACAGGGUUGGACAGAGCAUCCUCUGUACUGUCAGGUGGAGAAAAGAGAAGCACAAGUAAUAAUUAUGGGAUGUGGUAAUAGAUCAUGUAAGAGAGAUAUGACAAGAAAAGAAAAGCCCUAAUUCCAGGUAGGGAGGGCUUCCUAUGAGAGGUGGUGCGAAGGCUGACUAUUGAAGGUUGAGUCAGAGAUAAAUGAGGCAGGUGAGGGCAGGGAGAGGGGAGAAGGAGGAGCAGGAGAUUCCAGGGGCUGCCCUGUUCAAAGCAGGAGUGACCCAGUCGGCCCUCUGGUGACUGGGAUGGAGACACUGGAGUUGACAUUGAACCUCAGGUGUGGACGAGCUUCUGAAGCAUUUUAUCCUUCAGCCUGAGGGUUUGGGACUUCCUUAUCCUAUAGGAAGCCCUGGAGGGUUUAGGGGAGCCGCUUGGUCAGAUUUCCUUUACUGGAACACCUUUCUGGGUGAGAAUGAAUAAAGGUGGGAGAGAUGAAAGAGAGAUAUGCGCGGAGAUUUUUGUAGGUGAGGAAAAAAAUGGGCAGUGAACUAUGGUGGGGAUGACAGGAGUGGAGGGGAUGCAUGCGUUCAUUUCAUUUUCCUAAAUUUUGCUAUUGUCUUUCACAUUAUAAAAGUUAACGCAAGCUCGUUGGAAAAUUUUUAAAAUGUGUCUGGAAUAAAAUAAAAUGACUCUUAAUUCCACUCCAG